AUUUUCUUAGUAUAUAAGUAUAUUUGACUUCCAAUCAAAAGGUCUAGACUCUAGAGAAAAUA
rnacentral:tRNA from 1 species